rnacentral:sRNA from 1 species
UGUAUCGGAAGCCUGACGAGGAUGAGAACCUCCGGGGGCAAGAGGUUCGACCCGAGCGAAGUGAGAGAACGUUGCGUCAGCAACGGCCCGCAGGGCGAGCCACGCAGUGGCGAGUCAUCCUCUAUCACCGAACU